UGGAAGUAAAAGUCGUAACAAGGUUUCCGUAGGUGAACCUGCGGAAGGAUCAUUACUGAUUUGCUUAAUUGCACCACAUGUGUUUUUCUUUGAAACAAACUUGCUUUGGCGGUGGGCCCAGCCUGCCGCCAGAGGUCUAAACUUACAACCAAUUUUUUAUCAACUUGUCACACCAGAUUAUUACUUAAUAGUCAAAACUUUCAACAACGGAUCUCUUGGUUCUCGCAUCGAUGAAGAACGCAGCGAAAUGCGAUACGUAAUAUGAAUUGCAGAUAUUCGUGAAUCAUCGAAUCUUUGAACGCACAUUGCGCCCUCUGGUAUUCCGGAGGGCAUGCCUGUUUGAGCGUCGUUUCUCCCUCAAACCGCUGGGUUUGGUGUUGAGCAAUACGACUUGGGUUUGCUUGAAAGACGGUAGUGGUAAGGCGGGAUCGCUUUGACAAUGGCUUAGGUCUAACCAAAAACAUUGCUUGCGGCGGUAGCGUCUACCACGUAUAUCUUCAAACUUUGACCUCAAAUCAGGUAGGACUACCCGCUGAACUUAAGCAUAUCAAUAAGCGGAGGAA
rnacentral:misc_RNA from 1 species